GGUUGGUCCGAGUGCAGUGGUGUUUACAACUAAUUGAUCACAACCAGUUACAGAUUCCUUUGUUCCUUCUCCACUCCCACUGCUUCAUUUGACCAGCUUAAA
rnacentral:Y_RNA from 1 species